UGUGGAUGGGAGGGGCUUGGAAGGGAAUUCGGCUUGGUUUUAACAUUGAGUGUAGUGGAGGAUCGACUGCAGACUGGCUCCCAACUCCUCUCCUCUCUCCUCUCACUCGACUCACAACAAUUCUCUGUCCCGUUAAGAUCCACAGGGCACAAUCAUGGAGGAAAUGGACUUUGAGCGGCGCCGGGAGCUGAGAAGGCAGAAGCGGGAGGAGAUGCGCCUGGAGGCUGAAAGGAUGGCAAGAAAUGACGAUGACGAGGAAGAGGCGGCCCGCGAGAGGAGGCGCAGGGCGCGCCAGGAGAGGAUGAGGACUAGGGAGAGCGAUGAGCCCAGUGGACAGCCAGACAGUCUGGUCGUGACUAACAGCCACAGCAUGACAGAGACAGUGUCUGUGACUAGCACUCACGGAGGCGGUGGAGACGACGAGGACCAAGCCCUCCUGGACCGCAUGGCCAAACGCGAGGAGAGACGGCAGAGGCGCAUGCAAGAGGCGCUGGAGAGACAGAAGCAGCUGGACCCGACUGUGACAGAGGACAACAGCAGUGUCAGCAUGGAGAAAAACAACCAGGAGGAGGAGAGGCCAUCCUGGCGCAAGGGGCGCUUCCGGGAUAAUGAAGACGAAGAAGAAGAAGAGAAGACAUCCACAUACAGCUCUAGGAGGGAGGAGAUGCAGCGAGAGGAGCAGAGAGAGGAAGAGGUGGCUGCUCCUGAGGCUGAAGAGGAAGUGGAGGAGUGUGAAGAUGAGGUGCAGGAAGUGGUAGAGGACAAACUUAGAAGGUCUUACAUGAGGGAACAGGUGUCCGCAGAAGAACCCACAACCCAUAACAAGGAGCUUGUUGAAGAAAAAAUGCCGUCUGUAGUCAGUGAGUGUUCAAAUCAGACCACGCCAGCAAAGUCUGAGGCUGAGGAGGAUGCAGUAGGAUCAGGCAUGGCUGAAGAGGUGGACGAGGACAGGGAGGAGCAGAGGAAGCAGAACGGAGGGCUGCAUGAUGAAGAGGCUCCCAAACAACACAGGAAACCUGAGAGGACUCUCAGUCGGGGAAGUGUGCACUCCCCCGAGGUGUCUGCGGCGGACGACCAGGACGACGACGCCCGCCUGGAAGCAGAGCGCAAGCUGGAGGAGCUGAAGCGCCGCCGCGACGAUGCCGAGAGUGAGGAGUUUGAGAGGAUGAGACUGAAGCAGCACGAGGCCGAGGCUGAGCUGGAGGAGCUGAAGAAGAAGAGGGAGGAAAGGAGGAAGGUACUGGAGGAGGAGGAGAGGCAGAAGAAGCUGGAGGAGGAUGAGAGGAAAGCCAAAGAGGAGGAGGAGAAGAGGAAGAUGAAGGAGGAGAUUGAAAGGAGGAGAGCAGAGGCUGCCGAGAAGAGACAGAAGGUGGAGGACACUAUGGAUGGAGAUGAGAAACCCUUCAAGUGUGUCAGCCCCCGCGGCUCCUCUCUUAAGAUUGGAGAGAGAGCAGAGUUCCUGAACAAGUCGGCGCAGAAAAGCGCAGCGAAGGCGCCUUUCUCUCCUGUGGUGUCCAAGAUAGACAACAGGCUGGAGCAGUACACCUCCGCUGCUCAGAGAGAGAACAAGGAGUCUCGAUCCCCUCGCUCUGGAGCGGUGGAUCUGCCCAUGGCCACCGACAGCAUACGGAACAUCAAGAGCAUGUGGGAGAAAGGCAACGUGUUCGGCUCGCCUGGAGGUGGCGGGAACACAUUCAAGGAAGCAGCUGUGAUGAAGACGGGCGUGGCAGGCCGCAUCAAUGACUGGCUGAAUAAAACCCCGGAGAGCGGCAAAACGCCAGGCGGAAGGCCAGCGGACCUUAAACCUGUCGACGUCAGCAACAAGAGGAGUCUAUGGGAAAACAAAGGAGCUUCUCCAACCAAGAACUCUCAUAGCUAGUUGAUCUCACCAUUAAAUCUGGAAUAAGCCUGGAGAGGUGGCAGGCAGAGGGGAGACCAAAUCAGUCGCCAACGGGAUGGGACACUAAUGUCUUGAAGAAGCCACUUAAGCUGGGGACCACGACAAUCCAAGACACUUCCUUUGACUUUGUCUUAAGAACCAAAUAUAUCGACCACACUCUCAAGAGGGACCCCAAGAAAACAGAAGGACAGGAGAGACGCUGUCUGAGCACUGUACUGAAACAAGAUCAUAUUUUCUUUUUGUACGGUUGCCACGUAUAGUGCCUUUGCACAAUGAUAUUUUUUUUUGCUUUCUAAAAGAAACAAAAUGCUGUGAAAUUUGGACAUUGUAAUAACUGUUACUAAUUACUUUAUACAAUCCUGCCAGGAAGAAGGAAAACUAAUUAAAUUUAGAUUUAUCAGUUGUACUCCAUGCCAACAGUUUUGGUAGAAACAGCGUGGAUGAGUUAAAAAAAAAAGAAAAGAAAAAGUUUCCACAUUCCAAAGAGAUGGGUGAAAUCAGUUCUCUCCCCCUCAUACAGAUCAUUUUCCAUCUCUUGUCUCUCUUUUUUUUAUUUAUAUUUAAAGCAAAAGCUUCACACAUUGCUAUUUUAUUCAUCGUUCACCAGUUCAGGAUAGAAAUAUUAGCACUUAUAGAAUUUAGCUGAUUUCACGUUUUAUUUUGUCCUACCAAUAGUGCAGCAAUGGUCUGAGUAAUAUAUGUUAGCACACGUGAUGUUUUGAAUAUGACCUAUCAUACUGUAUCGUAUAUAACAUCUCUAUACUCAAAACAAAAGGUAUUUUUGCUUCUUCUUUUUUGUUUUUAUAUCCACAAACUAUUCUCCAACUGGCAUUUCAUUCCAGAUGUGAACCAGCGUGUUGAAUAUCCAGAAGGCCAUUGUGACUUUAUUAUCCUUUAUGUCAUUUUAUUUAUGUUUUUAAUAUGUUUUUCUAUUCCAAGCUGGGGUUUUUUUUUGUAGCUUUUGUACCUGUUUGAUCACUUUAAAAUCUUCAGACAUUCCUCUUUUGAAAAGCAGGUGCACUCGGUGCCUUCACUGCUUCAAAGUUGUAGGUUUUUUUUAUGUGGGAAAUCAGCAAACCACCUUUUUUUGUUUUUUAUAUCCAGUUUUUCCUCUUUCCGCCUCUAUGCACACUAAUGCUCAGCAAAUAGUUUCUAAUAAAGGGCAUGCAAAGUAAAAUCGGGUUGCCUUUAGCAAAUAUAGCAAGAUACUAGUACAGUUCAAGGAUAUUUACCACUAUGUAACGUCUGGCCUUAUGAUUGCACCGUUUAUGACAGCUGAGGUAAAAACUACAUAAAAGCCUCAAAGCAAAAGUAUGAUAUAAAGUCUGAUUUAUUUCUUCUUCUUUUCUCCACUUACAUGGUCUUAAGUAGCACAUUUCCCCCUUUUUUGCUUGUUUUAUGCGCGGCACAAGCUUUGACAAGCAUGUGAAUGGUUUGCUGGGGCAUUAAAUUGAUCCAUGUCACUGCUCAAAAGUCUGACAAUCACAUUCCAUGGCUCCUGAAAAGAGCAGGGGAGCUCGACCAAAAUAUGAUACACCGUGAUGUAAUGUGACAUUUAUGAUGUUUUUAAUACAAUGGUUUCAUAAUGCCUUGUUUUUUUUUUGUUUUUUGUUUUUUUACUCUUUUUACUUUACAUGUUUAACCAGACACUUGUUGUUUGUGUAGUGCUAAGCCUAUACAAAAACACACUCUCUGUAUUCUCUCUGAACACUCCCAAUGUCAUACAAGUGGGCAGUUUCCAACUGGAUGGAUGUUUUAAACAUUGUACCUUUUUACAACAACAGCAAUAAAGACAUUGAGGUAUUCCA